UUAACCUUAAAUCUAAUGGACAAAGGUGUUUCUUUCUCCCCCCUCUUACCUUGUCGUAUUUUCUGUUCUUCUCGUUCAAUUUCUUUUCCAGAUCUCGUCUCUCUAAUCUCUUUCUUCAUCACCACUAAACCUUAUCACCACCAGACCUUGUCUUCGUCUCCACCAAAUCUCGUCGUCGUUACAACCACAGCUCGCGUCGUCACCACCGUAGCUUCGUCCAUCGAGGCGAAGAUGAAGAAGAUCGUUUGACCUCCUCACCACCACGACAUAUCUAAAAAGGAGCAGGGAAAGAGAAGAAGUGGUGUUACAGAAUGUUAAAAAAAGGCGGAGGUGGCUAAAGAAGGUUGAUGGUGGUAGUCUCGGCGUCAACAGUGGUGGUCUCGGCGUCAACAGUGGUGGUCUCGGCGUCAACAGUUGUGGUCUCGGCGUCAACAGUGGUGGUCUCGACGUCGUCAAUGGUAGCUUAGCGCGGUGGAGGAGGCUGAAUAACCUUUACGGUGGUGUUCUUGGCUAGUGGUCUCCGCCUCAAAGAUGAAGAAACCGAAGGAGCUGAAGUUGACGGCAAAAAGUUUAGAUGCAGGGUUAAUUUUUUUUAAUUAGGUUAAGCUUUUUAGGUUUACAUUUCUAAACCGGGUUUUGUAAACCAGAAUUUAUUUGUAAACCAGAAUUAAAUUAGUAAAUAAAAUUUGAUUUUAAUUAUAAA